rnacentral:piRNA from 1 species
UUGGAGGAUAUGACAUUUGGAGAGGUCUC